rnacentral:rRNA from 1 species
UACGGGGGGGGCAAGCGUUGUUCGGAAUUACUGGGCGUAAAGGGCUCGUAGGCGGCCAUCUAAGUCGGACGUGAAAUCCCUCGGCCCAACCGAGGAACUGCGCCCGAGACUGCUUCUCUUGAGCUCCGGAGAGGAAGAUGGAAUUCCCGGUGUAGCGGUGAAAUGCGUUGAGAUCGGAAGGAACGCCCGUGGCGAAAGCGAGGUCCUGGACCCCAUCUGACGCUGAGACGCGAAAGCGUGGGGAGCAAACAGG